rnacentral:misc_RNA from 1 species
UACAGAGGGUGCAAGCGUUGUUCGGAAUUACUGGGCGUAAAGCGCGCGUAGGCGGCUUUGUAAGUCUUCAAGGUGAAAGGCCGGGGCUCAACCCCGUGCUUGCCGGAGAUACUGCGGAGCUAGAGACCGGUAGAGGCGAGUGGAAUUUCGGGUGUAGCGGUGGAAUGCGUAGAGAUCCGAAAGAACACCGGAGGCGAAGGCGGCUCGCUGGGCCGGGUCUGACGCUGAGGCGCGAAAGCGUGGGGAGCGAACAGG